rnacentral:rRNA from 1 species
UACAAAGGGUGCAAACGUUGCUCGGAAUUAUUGGGCGUAAAGCGCACGUAGGCGGCUAUCUAAGUCGGAUGUGAAAUCCCUCGGCUUAACCAAGGAAGUGCACCCGAAACUGGAUAGCUUGAGUACAGAAGAGGAUCGCGGAAUUCCCGGUGUAGAGGUGAAAUUCGUAGAUAUCGGGAGGAACACCAGUGGCGAAGGCGGCGAUCUGGGCUGAUACUGACGCUGAGGUGCGAAAGCGUGGGGAGCAAACAGG